UGUGGUGUGGUAUGGCGUUGCAUUGCGUAACAUAAUGCGGCAUGGUGUAGAGUGGCAUUGUGUUGUAGGCACCUUGAUGGGUUCUGGAGAGACAUGCUGACACUGAUAAAAACUCAUAGCCAUUGUGGAUAAAAUACUGAAAUCAGGGUGUUGAUACAAAAACUGAGAUCAAGUGUAGAUAAAAACUGAGAUCAGGGGUGUAGAUAAAAACUGAGAUCUGGGUGUAGAUAAAAACUGAAAUCAGGUGGAUAUAUACACUGAGAUCAGGGUGUAGAUAAAACUGAAUUCAGGGUGUAGAUAAAAACUGAAAUCAGAGCGUGGAUAAAAACUGAAAUCAGGGUGUAGAUAAAAACUGAAAUCAGGGUGUGGAUAAAAACAGGUCUGAAGUGUUGUUAUAAAAACUGAGAUCAGGGUGUUGAUAACUGAGAUCAGGGUGGG